rnacentral:rRNA from 1 species
AGGGCAAGUCUGGUGCCAGCAGCCGCGGUAAUUCCAGCUCUCAAAAUGCAUAGAAUUAUUGCUGCGGUUAAAAAGCUCGUAGUUGGAUCUGUGCUAGCCGGCCGGUCCACCCUUUGGGUGUGGUACUGGUUUGGUUGGCUUUUUUGCUGGUCUCUCUCCGGCGUUGGCCUUCACUGGUCGGCGUCGGUGGGCUAGCGAGUUUACCUUGAACAAAUCAGAGUGCUUCAAACAGGCGUUUCGCUUGAAUGUUCGUGCAUGGAAUAAUAGAAGAGGAUUUCGGUCCGAUUUUAUUGGUUUUGCUGACCGAGAUAAUGGUUAACAGAGACAAACGGGGCCAUUCGUAUUGCUACGUGAGAGGUGAAAUUCUUGGACCGUAGCAAGACGGACUACAGCGAAAGCAUUUGGCAAGAAUGUCUUCAUUAAUCAAGAACGAAAGUCAGAGGUUCGAAGGCGAUCAGAUACCGCCCUAGUUCUGACCGUAAACGAUGCCAACUAGCGAUCCGCCGGCGGAUUUAUUCGCCCUGGUGGGGAGCUUCCCGGAAACGAAAGUCUUCCGGUUCCGGGGGAAGUAUGGUUGCAAAGCUGAAACUUAA